GACGAACGCUGGCGGCGUGCCUAAUACAUGCAAGUAGAACGCUGAAGAGAGGAGCUUACUCUUCUUGGAUGAGUUGCGAACGGGUGAGUAACGCGUAGGUAACCUGCCUUGUAGCGGGGGAUAACUAUUGGAAACGAUAGCUAAUACCGCAUAACAAUGGAUGACACAUGUCAUUUAUUUGAAAGGGGCAAUUGCUCCACUACAAGAUGGACCUGCGUUGUAUUAGCUAGUAGGUGAGGUAAUGGCUCACCUAGGCGACGAUACAUAGCCGACCUGAGAGGGUGAUCGGCCACACUGGGACUGAGACACGGCCCAGACUCCUACGGGAGGCAGCAGUAGGGAAUCUUAGGCAAUGGGGGCAACCCUGACCGAGCAACGCCGCGUGAGUGAAGAAGGUUUUCGGAUCGUAAAGCUCUGUUGUAAGUCAAGAACGGGUGUGAGAGUGGAAAGUUCACACUGUGACGGUAGCUUACCAGAAAGGGACGGCUAACUACGUG
rnacentral:rRNA from 1 species